UCCUUUGUGAUUUAGCGGCGGACGGGUGAGUAACACGUGGGCAACCUGCCCUGCAGAUCGGGAUAACUCCGGGAAACCGGUGCUAAUACCGAAUAGUUUGCGGCCUCUCAUGAGGCUGCACGGAAAGACGGUUUCGGCUGUCACUGCAGGAUGGGCCCGCGGCCCAUUAGCUAGUUGGUGGGGUAACGGCCUACCAAGGCGACGAUGCGUAGCCGACCUGAGAGGGUGAUCGGCCACACUGGGACUGAGACACGGCCCAGACUCCUACGGGAGGCAGCAGUAGGGAAUCUUCCGCAAUGGACGAAAGUCUGACGGAGCAACGCGCGUGAGUGAAGAAGGUUUUCGGAUCGUAAAACUCUGUUGUGAGGGGAAGAACAAGUAUCAACUAACUAUUGGUUACUUUGACCGUUACCUCA
rnacentral:rRNA from 1 species